rnacentral:lncRNA from 1 species
GGUUAGAUGAAAAGCAAAGCAAAAUAUCUUACUUUUCAUACUCUGGACUCUGAAAUUAUUAUUUUUUAUUCAAUAACAUGUAGUCAUUUGUAAAAUAUAGCAUGAGUUUACUUGAACUGAAGAGAUCAAAACCAACAACAUAUGAUAUGGUUUUACAAAUUUCA